AGCGAACGCUGGCGGCAGGCCUAACACAUGCAAGUCGAACGGACCUUUCGGGGUUAGUGGCGGACGGGUGAGUAACACGUGGGAACGUGCCUUUAGGUUCGGAAUAAGCUCGGGAAACUGGGUCUAAUACCGAAUGUGCCCUUCGGGGAAAGGAUUAUCGCCUUUAGAGCGGCCCGCGUCUGAUUAGCUAGUUGGUGGUGUAAUGGACCACCAAGGCGACGAUCAGUAGCUGGUCUGAGAGGAUGACCAGCCACAUUGGGACUGAGACACGGCCCAGACUCCUACGGGAGGCAGCAGUGGGGGAAUAUUGGACAAUGGGCGGAAGCCUGAUCCAGCCAUGCCGCGUGUGUGAAGAAGGCCUUUUGGUUGUAAAGCACUUUAAG
rnacentral:rRNA from 1 species